CAUAGAGUACUGGAUUGCUUCACGAGCUGUCGGAGCAGGCAAGAAGUCAUUGACAGCAACCUCCUUGUUCUCAUUCUUCUUUCUUCAAAGAAGCGCCGGAUUUCCUGAAGGCGAUGAGGAGAAAGCUCGCUGAGAUUAUUGAAAUGGCGGUACUCAGGAUCAUCGGCGCAGACAGCUAUGAUCUUGUCAUCCUUCUCUCCCUGGUCAAUCAUAGGCAUGAGACCAAUGGCCCUGGCUCGGAGGAAUGAACCAGGAAGAACUGGUUCCUGGUUGCGAACAACACAAGGACAUCCAUGGGGUCGUUGUCCUCGCAAAGCGUUCUCGGAAUGAAACCGUAGUUGUGAGGGUAGACCACGGACGAGUAUAGAAUCCGAUCAACCUACCUUGAUGAGCCCCGUCUUCUUGUCCAGCUCGUACUUCACCUUGCUCCCCUUGGGCGUGCACUUACGACGUUGAACACGGCGGGAGCAUCAGGGCCGAUCUCGAGGUCGUGCCACGGGUGCGCGGCGACGGACCUCCGCGACAGCGACGAGAGGAUCCUCUCGUUCAGCUUCGG
rnacentral:sRNA from 1 species